UACGUAGGGGGCUAGCGUUGUCCGGCAUCAUUGGGCGUAAAGAGCGUGUAGGCGGUCCGGUAAGUCCGCUGUGAAAGUCGGGGGCUCAACCCUCGAAUGCCGGUGGAUACUGUCGGGCUAGAGUACGGAAGAGGCGAGUGGAAUUCCUGGUGUAGCGGUGAAAUGCGCAGAUAUCAGGAGGAACACCAAUUGCGAAGGCAGCUCGCUGGGACGUUACUGACGCUGAGACGCGAAAGCGUGGGGAGCAAACAGG
rnacentral:rRNA from 1 species